rnacentral:rRNA from 1 species
GAGCGGUAGCACAGAGAGCUUGCUCUUGGGUGACAAGCGGCGGACGGGUGAGUAACGCGUAGGAAUCUACCUAGUAGUGGGGGACAACAGUUGGAAACGACUGCUAAUACCGCAUACGCCCUAAGGGGGAAAGCGGGGGAUCUUCGGACCUCGUGCUAUUAGAUGAGCCUGCGUGAGAUUAGCUAGUUGGUGAGGUAAAGGCUCACCAAGGCGACGAUCUCUAGCUGGUCUGAGAGGAUGAUCAGCCACACUGGGACUGAGACACGGCCCAGACUCCUACGGGAGGCAGCAGUGGGGAAUAUUGGACAAUGGGCGCAAGCCUGAUCCAGCCAUGCCGCGUGUGUGAAGAAGGCCUUCGGGUUGUAAAGCACUUUCAGAAGGGAGGAAAGGCUGUGUGUUAAUAGCACAUAGCUGUGACGUUACCUUCAGAAGAAGCACCGGCUAACUCCGUGCCAGCAGCCGCGGUAAUACGGAGGGUGCAGGCGUUAAUCGGAAUUACUGGGCGUAAAGCGCGCGUAGGUUGUUUGUUAAGCGAGAUGUGA